UGGGGAAUUUUGGACAAUGGGCGAAAGCCUGAUCCAGCAAUGCCGCGUGUGUGAAGAAGGCCUUCGGGUUGUAAAGCACUUUUGUCCGGAAAGAAAUCCUCUGGGUUAAUACCUCGGGGGGAUGACGGUACCGGAAGAAUAAGCACCGGCUAACUACGUGCCAGCAGCCGCGGUAAUACGUAGGGUGCAAGCGUUAAUCGGAAUUACUGGGCGUAAAGCGUGCGCAGGCGGUUUUGUAAGACGGAUGUGAAAUCCCCGGGCUUAACCUGGGAACUGCAUUCGUGACUGCAAGGCUAGAGUAUGGCAGAGGGGGGUAGAAUUCCACGUGUAGCAGUGAAAUGCGUAGAGAUGUGGAGGAAUACCGAUGGCGAAGGCAGCCCCCUGGGCCAAUACUGACGCUCAUGCACGAAAGCGUGGGGAGCAAACAGGAUUAGAUACCCUGGUAGUCCACGCCCUAAAACGAUGUCAACUAGUUGUUGGGGAUUCAUUUCCUUAGUAACGUAGCUAACGCGUGAAGUUGACCGCCUGGGGGAGUACGGUCGCAAGAUUAAAACUUUAAAUUGAAUUGACGGGGAUCAUAGCUGUUUCCU
rnacentral:rRNA from 1 species